AAUCAACGCUGGCGGCGUGCCUAACACAUGCAAGUCGAACGAGAAAGUGGGAGCAAUCCCAUGAGUAAAGUGGCGCACGGGUGAGUAACACGUGACUAACCUACCCUUGAGUGGGGGAUAACUGAGGGAAACCUUAGCUAAUACCGCAUAAUACCCACGGGUCAAAGGAGCAAUUCGCUCGAGGAGGGGGUCGCGGCCGAUUAGUUAGUUGGCAGGGUAAUGGCCUACCAAGACGAUGACGGUAUCCGGCCUGAGAGGGCGCACGGACACACUGGAACUGAAACACGGUCCACGAUCCUACGGGAGGCAGCAGUGGGGAAUUUUGCGCAAUGGGGGAAACCCUGACGCAGUAACGCCGCGUGGAGGAUGAAGUCCUUCGG
rnacentral:rRNA from 1 species